AUCUCAAGCUAUCCUCCAGCUUCAGCUUCCUGAGUAGCUAGGACUACAGUGGAGUCUCCGGCCAGAAUUAAUUAGAACAGCACUUUUGUGGCUUGUACAUGGACACUCAUCUUCAUUUCUUGGACUCUGAGCCUCAAUUUCUCAUUCAAGUGGAGAAAGCAUAUAACAAGAAUAUGGGAGCAAACUCAAGUCCUGCAUCUCAUCCCUGAUGCCCCUUCCUCAGUCUACUCACAUGAGCAUAACUCAGGAAGAAGAGCUGGUUGUUGGUGAAUGUGAUGCCUGGUAGAAGAGGCUCCUCAAGUCCCUGCCUUCUGUCAUUUAUCCAUUUCCUGUAAGCCUGGUGAGAGAAGAAGAAGAGAUGAGUCUCUGCAACGGUCCUCUCAUUUAUUGAUUGCUGUACUAAGUAUUUGAAACUGACACUAGCAGCAGGGAUAUUCAGCCCAGGCCUGGGAGCAUGGACUCCAAUUCUGCUCAGGAUGACAAUGGACUCAACAACAACAACAACAACAACAACAAAAUAGCUGUGUUGCCCAGCUUCCUUUCCAACUGGAGUCAGCUACAGGAUGAGAUUCGGGCCAAUGACAUUUAAGAAAAACUUCUUGUUGCACUUCCAAUGAUCCAUUUUAAAAGGGGACAGAUUCAUCAGCAUAUGCUUUCUGCCUCGAGUCCAGGGUUUCUCAACACUUUGGGCCAGAUAAUUCUUGCUCUGGGGUUUGUCCUAUAAAUUGUAGGAUGUUUAGCAGCAUCUUUGGCUUCUACAAAUUAGAUACCAGGAGCAACCCAUGCCCCCCUCCGCAAGUUGUGACAACCAAAAAUAUCUCCAUAUAUUGCCAAAUGUGCCCCUGGUGGCAAAAUCACCUCCAGCUGAGAACUACUGCUUUAGCCUUUCCUCUUCUUCCUUUCUGGAAUGCUGAUGCAAUGCCAGAAGCCGAGCAGCCAUCUAGUAAUCACAAGGCAACACAUAUGAGGAAAAAAUCUACAUGCUGAAGAUGGUGGGAUGAAAAGCUGAUGGCAUUCGAAGGCCAGCAUAUUAGACCUGGACUGCCUCCCUCUUUUCCCUUCAUGACAUACAGAAAAUAAAGCCCUUAUUUGUUUGAGGCAUUAUGUGUCAUGUUUUCCAUUAGCUAAUGUAAUCCUAAC
rnacentral:lncRNA from 10 species